rnacentral:rRNA from 1 species
GGGGGGGGGGUGAAAUCCUUCCCAACGGGUGGAGGGGAGGCGGGUCAAACCCCCUAAAAUAAACCGGGAUUAAAUACCCCGCUAUAUAGGGGGGCCUACAAGGGGGGGUAGUAACGGCUAUGUCCCCCAAACCCAAAAAACUUGGCGGCGGCCUAUCCAUCUAGAGGAGCCUGCCCUAUAAUCGAUACCACCCGUUGGCCCCAACCCCCGUGUAUGUUCGUAUACCGCCGUCUANCCUCUAACCCCUAGGUUGAAGCGUAAAGGCCCCCCCCAAAAACAGGUCAAGGUGCGGCGAAUCGGGGGGGAAAGGUGGGCUACAAUUCCCCUGGGGCGGACCCCCCUCCCAGGAGGGGGGUUAAAAUGGAUUUAGCAUUACCGGGGGGUUAGCCCCCCCCCGUGAACAGGAUUUGGGCCGUGUACAUAUCCCCCUUC